GCAGCCGCGGUAAUUCCAGCUCUUUUAGUGUAUAUUAAAUUUGUUGCAGUUAAAAAGCUCGUAGUUGAUAGUCGGGGGACGGAACUUCUUUAUUGAGGUUUCCUGAACCUAGGUCUGUAUAUUUGCAGACCAGUUACUUUGAGAAAAUUAGAGCGCUUAAAGCAGUCAUUGAAUACGUUAGCAUGGAAUAACAAUAGGACGAGGUUUCUUUUGUGGGAACAUCGUAAUUGAUUAAAAGGGACAGUCGGGGGCAUCAGUAUUCAGGAGCUAGAGGUGAAAUUCUUAGAUUUCCUGAAGACUAACUAGUGCGAAAGCAUUUGCCAAGGAUGUCUUCAUUAAUCAAGAACGAAAGUUAGGGGAUCGAAGACGAUCAGAUACCGUCGUAGUCUUAACAGUAAACUAUGCCGAUAGAGUGGAGGAUGGACUAUUUAAUCUAUUCUCCGCUCAAGCGAAAGCAGUUGGUUCUGGGGGGAGUAUGGUCGCAAGGCUGAAACUUAAAGGAAUUGACGGAAGGGCACCACCAGGAGUGGAGCCUGCGGCUUAAUUUGACUCAACACGGGGAAACUCACCAGGUCCAGACACAAUGAGGAUUGACAGAUUGAGAGCUCUUUCAAGAUUUUGUGGGUGGUGGUGCAUGGCCGUUCUUAGUUGGUGGAGUGAUUUGUCUGCUUAAUUGCGAUAACGGACGAGAUUUUGGCGAGCAGUUGGUGAAGUUACAUUUUGUAGCGGAUUCCGUCUACUCGGACAGCUGAUGCAAUCAUAGAAACGAGGCAAUAACAGGUCUGUGAUGCCCUUAGA
rnacentral:rRNA from 1 species